rnacentral:rRNA from 1 species
AUUGAACGCUGGCGGCAUGCUUUACACAUGCAAGUCGAACGGUAACGGGGACUUCGGUCUGCCGACGAGUGGCGAACGGGUGAGUAAUAUAUCGGAACGUGCCCAGUAAUGGGGGAUAGCUCGGCGAAAGCCGGAUUAAUACCGCAUACGCCCUGAGGGGGAAAGUGGGGGAUCUUCGGACCUCACGUUAUUGGAGCGGCCGAUAUCAGAUUAGCUAGUUGGUGGGGUAAAGGCCUACCAAGGCGACGAUCUGUAGCUGGUCUGAGAGGAUGAUCAGCCACACUGGGACUGAGACACGGCCCAGACUCCUACGGGAGGCAGCAGUGGGGAAUUUUGGACAAUGGGCGCAAGCCUGAUCCAGCAAUGCCGCGUGCGGGAAGAAGGCCUCGGUUGU